rnacentral:misc_RNA from 1 species
CAAGACAAGCAAAGCAUACUGCGCAGUGAGCACUACGCAGUACGCGCAGUUCUGCCGAUUCGGCAUUUCAUUUCGGCCAUUCGGCAUCCAAUCCUCCAUUAUCCACAAUUCACAUUACUAUUAUCUACAAUUCACACUUCCCCACACAGCCAAUAUUAAGUUUAUCAGCUCCGAACUGAACACAACCUCUCAGUUGAUUCUCAGGUUUCACGUCUCAGUGCACAUUGAGCUGUUCUUGAGCAUACACUUAGUAUUGCAUAAUUAAAAGUCGCAAUUGUGUAGGGGGUUUAGUUGAAAUAGUGCGAUACUUAGUUGUCCCAAGUGAUUAAUAAAAAUCCACAAGAGAACAAAAGCACCAACAUUCAAGAUGUCUUGUAAUGGAAUGUACGAGCUCAUCGCGCACUCAUAAGGAUUGGAGACGACAAGUUAAAAAAGAACGACGCAGACGCCUGAGACGGCUAGCCGCGCGAGCUAGAGACGGGGAGGCCGAGCGCCUGAAGCAGCGGCUAGAGAACGAUCCGAACUACGCUCGUUGGCAAGAAGAACAGGCCAAGCUCGAAGCCAAGCGAGAAAAACUCGCCGAGGAAGAGCACGUCAGGGCCGAGAAAGCUUGGUUAGACGCCGAGGUUAAGGCACAAAAGGAGUGGCAAGUGCUACAAGCAAAAAGGGCGAAGGCUCGGGAGUUGCAGUUAGAACAAGAAGCCAAAAUUCGUAAAGAAUACGAAGAGAUGCAAGAUACCGCCAGGAAAAAGAAAGAAGCAGAGCGGCGUCGCCGCGAUGAGCAGAAAAAGCUCUUCGACAGAAUGAAAAAGGAGAUCGAUGCCUACAUUGACGACGGCGCCAGGACCCCUAAAGCUCUGAGGACUCUCAAUGAGACUCAGCCGGGCAAAGAGAUCUGUCCCUUCUUCAACAAGACGGGUGCCUGUAGGUACGGCGACAUAUGCUCCAGAAAUCACCAGAGACCUGGUUUGAGCACAGUCAUCCUUGUGCCAAACUUUUACACUCAUUUUUCUCUGGAAAGACACAGAGACGAGUACGAUACCGAUAAUAGAUUGGAGUAUGACCACAGAGAGACCCGCAAUCACUUCCGUGACUUUUAUUUCGAUGUUGCACCAGAGCUUGAGAAGUUUGGUAAAAUCAAGACCUUGCAAUAUUGUAAGAAUACUGAAUCUCAUCUUAGAGGAAACCUUUACGUUGAAUACAUGACCGAGAGAGAAGCUGCAAGUGCUCUGCGUGGCUUGAAGGGCAGAUGGUAUGCAGGGAGACAAUUACACUGUGAGUUUGUCAAUCUAAAGUCCUGGAGAGGUGCCAUUUGCGGGAUGAUGCGUUGCCCCAAGGGAAGUUCGUGCAACUUUUUGCACACUUUUAGAAAUCCCACUGACGACUAUGGAGUUAAAAGUCCACCGCUGUGGCAGAAAAGACAAGAAAUGUUCGAAAAGGGAGGCAGUACUAGAGACAGCUCCUCUCGCAGAGGCAACACCAGCAGCAGAAAAUCAAACUGGGAAGAUAAUGACAAUCAAGAUAGAAGAGACAAAAAUUGGAGAUGGUCAGAAUCUCCAGAGCCCAAUGAUAGAAGAUACGAUAAUAGAGGAAGGCAACAAAAUCAAUUUAAUAACAGGCCUAUGCAACGGAAUAAUUUCCAGCGCAAUAACCAGUUCAACAAUAACAAUCGUAAUUUUGAUAACCGAAGAGACAACCGCAACUUUUACAACAAUGACAAUAGACAAAGGCAAAGGAAUUUCAAUGAUAAUCGAAAUCGGUUUCAGCAAGACGACCGAGAUCGUUACAAUAGACCACAGCAGCAAAGGCGACAAAACUUUGACAGAUUCAGACGGUUCUCUGGCUCAGAUGACGGUGAAGAUUACAAAAUGAAUAAACGUCGCGAGAGGCGCUCCAUGGACCGGAAGAGUAGAUCUCGAUCUCGUUUGCGAUCUCGUUCUCGAUCGGGCAGCCGAUCGCGCUCCCCAUCUAGAUCGCCAUCGCGCUCACGCUCUCGAUCGCGCUCUCGGUCUCGCUCGCCAUCCCAUUCAGGAUCUCGUUCUCGAUCACGCUCUCGCUCGAGGACCCGCUCUCGUAGUAUGAUGAACGAACAGAUGAUUGACAUUGAAGAACUCAGGGGUAAAAAGGGCAGACCUGUGCACUCCGCCAGUAGAUCUCCCUCUCGGGAACGCAAACGCAGACCACCAUCGCCAGAUGCCAAAGACAGAGGACAUGGAAAGGUCAUCAGAAAACCACCGAGUCAGGGCGUUUCUAAAUGGGAUAAUGAAAAACGUGAUUCAAGCCCAAGAUGCCGGGACUCUCGUUCACGUUCACCCUACAGAGGUAGUAAACAGAGUAAAGAUAAUCAGCCCAGUCACCGUCACCAUCCAUCAUCAACUAUACAACAGGCUCCACCGCAACAGUCAUCCAAACACUCGUCAGAUAAACCUAGAUCUAAGGGUCAAAAAGAUUAUGAGUGGGACACGACCGAUUCAGACAAUGAGUGAUUUUUUUGAGCAAUUUUAUAAAUAAUUACACUGUUAGUGUAUGAUAAUGAAUAUAUUCCUCAUUUCAAUUUCGUGACUAUAUGGCUAAGGGUCACCAGGAUACGACGAUUUAAAGAUCAGAUAAUUAGAUUUUAAUCCAUUAUACAUGUAUUGACUUGAUUAAAUAGAUAUUAGAGAUAUUCCAGUACUGUGACUCGCUUCUAUCAAAUCAGACAUAAAUUUCCUUUAGAUUGUCAUGAUUAAUAUUAUAUUUGUGCAUUGCAAACGAAAGUGAAAUUUUUUUGUUUGUGUGCUCAUUUGUAUAUUUUGGCACAAUCAGCUUCAGUUGAUUUAAUAGGUAUUCAAGGCUUAAGCAAGAUUAUAAGGGAAGCAGAAUGUUAAAAAAUAAAUUUAUUUACAUCCAGUAGAUUGUAACCAUCGCGAUGGUUGAACUUGGUGAAUUCUACGUUUAACUAUCAUAAACGUUACUUACUGGUAAAUAAAAAACAAAUGGCACUGUAGCGGUAAAACGAGCAUUUCCGUAGUCUUGGUCCGGUAAUACUUAUUUUAGAGGAAAAGGGACUGUAAGUUCGAGAUUAAACGGGUUUUAUGCGAAGCUUUUACGUCUUAUACCGAGCAUGAUUAUUACGUAAAAAGUAGACCAACUCAGUUAUUUUAUUUAUUCAGUAUAUCAGAUCAUAUGAGCAUUAGAUUAUAUAUUUUUAUAAUAAUUUGAAUUAAAAAUCAGGGAUAUGAGCACAGAUAAUAUUAUGCAGUAUUUGAGUACAGAUCAAGCAUUAGACAUCGCGUAUUUUGUGGAUUAUAGAAAAUUAACAGUAUUCCAGAUUAAAAGUCAUAUUUUUGGUGGAUCUUCUGCUGGAAAGGUAGCAGUUUGGAUUGUAAAUAGUAUCCACGUCUGGUUCAGGUAAAUUUAAUCCUUAUUAGUUCAUGACCAUUAUUUAUAUUCAUUUUCUGUUUAACAACAUGAUUCCAACUUAAUAUUACUUCAAAAAAAAGGCAAUUUUUCGGUCUGGUUUAAUCGAAAUAACUGAGCUUGGCUAAUAAACGAUUUUUUUAUAUUUAAAUACAAUUAGUUAUACGUUGAUCUUGUUCCAUUGCAAGCUUAAACAACCUCAUUAAUAAGUUUAAUUUAAUUUGUAGGAUAUACAAAUUCAGUGAGUUUAAACAUGCAAUGAUUUAUAAAAACUUUUUUAUAUUAUACGAUUUUAAUGAUAAUAUCGCAUAAGUGUAUGAAAGGAGAAUAAUUUUUUUUUUUCACUUAAAUAUAUGAAAAAAAUUAAUUCUCAAUACUACUACGAAACUUUUCUUCAGAGUAAAAAAUAAUCAAGAAAUUUAACAUUUUAAUUGAAUUUAAUUGAGCCAUCAUACACCUAUACUAUGUAUAACUACUUAAAUAAAUAUGUAUAAAUAAUACUUCUACAAUAUAGUAGCAUUGUUAUAUAGAAUUAUGGGAAUUUUUAGUAAGUAUAAAUAGAAUUAUUGUGUCUUAGAUUUUUUUAGUUGUGAGUCUAUGAACGCAAUAAAACUCGUUGAUAUGUGUAUAAUUUUGAUCUAAUUUUCAUUGAAACGCUUUAUUUACCGUUUUACAAACUUACUAGCGUCGUAAAUUAACUCUGUCACAUCAUAUAUUUCACUAUCUCCUUGUCUUUAUUUAUAUACUUGCCAAUACACUGUUUCAAUAUUAAUAUCUAAGGUUUGAAAGAUUAACAAAACUAUUCUUGUACAGAUAAAAGUUAAAUAAAUUUUUUUUAAAGUCGUGAGGAAAA